rnacentral:lncRNA from 1 species
GUACAGGUCCGGCUCUUUCUCCGAGUUUAUUUCCUGUAUUGCUUACCACAACGCUGCGAGGAGCGUCCCAUGGCUGCUGCAGUUGGUGGAUUAACAAACCUCAGUUACCCUGGUCACCUUCCUCCCAGGGGAGGAGGAGGAGGUGGGAUGGUUGUAGCACCUUCAGAGCAGCGUGAGCUCCAGAACGCAGAAUCGGUGGGUAUCAUACAAGGCAGGGAGCCGAGCCCUUGCAGUUGGACGGCCCUCGGUUUGCAUCUUGACCCCGCCUCGUCUUGCUGGGUGGUUUCUCUAAGGUUUCGUGACCUCAGUCAGCGACAGGGAGCCACUAGAAUCUACUACACAGAAGUGCCUAAAAUAUUGCCAAGCAGAUAGGAUCCCGGCAGAAAGUGAUGCACCUCCCUUUCCCCGGCCCAGCUGUCUUAUCAGGGCCCUAGGAAGGGAACAUAGCAGGUGGCUGGAGAAGGAAUGGGGGGAAGGGAGCUUGCGUGGUAGCAGCAGCAGAGGCAAGGGAGGAGGUAAGCAGGCAGUACGCACCUGAAGUUGGCGACGUGGUGCCUUUCCCCCACCUGGAGUAAAGACCCCUCUAACGUCUGCGUCAGGGCAGCGCCGUGGGAGCAGAGCCAUGAGGACAGGGCAGGUGGUGGCAGAGUGAGGGUUAACCAGUGGUCCUUCCUGGGAGACUGGUGCUGCCAGGUUGGUUUCCCUUCUUUCUGAAUGGCAGCGGUGGCUGCCGGCUUCCUGACGCCGUUGCAUCCCGUGGGAGGGGAGUUGGGCACCCUGAAGCCCCUCAUCACCAAUUCCGGGGCUGCAGA